AAACUGGAGCUGCCUUUCUGCGCCCGCGCGGGCAGGCCGCCUGGCGCCGGAUCUGCCCGGUUCCUCGCGUGGGGGGGGGGGGAGGGCCUGCGAAAACGCACCGCCCCCGGACGAGACCCUUCUGCUUGGCCGCCGUGCCUCUCCCCAGUCGCUGCCUGGGUGCCUCAGCGCCUCGUCGUUCCGCGUCUCCGAGUCGCCUGCUCGGUGGCUUUCCCUAAGCCGCAGCCGUUAGCAGGCGCGGAGGGGAACCUGCACUGGGGAGUGUUUAAUUAAAGGCUAACAAACCUAUAGAGUUCGGGCUCAGGGAGAAUUCUGGAGGUGGGGUCGCCGGUGAAGGUGGCGCCAGGGCGCGCGCGAACUUGCUGAUGCGACUGUCCCUUCACGUAAACAUGCUUGAAAUGGUCAUUUUUAUGUUCUACCGAUUUUCCCACCCCAAGGGUGAGAGAAAACCUCUUUCUGGCGAAGGUGACACCGCGUGGGAGUUGUUCGAAAUGAGGCGUUGCACAAAUGGGUGGAACUGAAAUGCAGGUGUCAGAGAAGCCUUGAGAGAACAGAGAGCGAGGACCUUCAGCUGGGCGGAUGCCUGAGCUGAGUGACCCAGCGUGGAGGACCAGAAGGAUGUUGCCAUGACAGCGACUCCCACACUCCCUUCCAGCGCACGGGCCCUUCUCCCUCCCUCUCCGUGCCUGCUAGGAUCUCCCCUGAGAAUGGGAAUGUGCUUUGGCCAGCAGGGAAGGGAUCCGUGUAUGGUCGAGGAUGCAGGGGGAGAGGCGUAAUCUUGGGGUGUCUGCAGAAGGGACCAGAGCCCCAAAGAAAGCAGUCUGUACAACACUGAGGCCCCCGGAGACGACGAAGCCUGUGAAAGCAUAGUGGCCUCUAAAUGCGGUUCUGGGAUUUUCUCCAGCAGUGCACGGUGCUACACCGUUUUCUGAAGCCAAGCUCCAUGGCUCAGACCCUGGAAAAUGGGGCCUGUGUUGUUAAAGGAGAAUGGAGCCUGGCAUGGCUCGUGGAGGCCAUGACAGACUGGAGAAGGACCUGCUCCCCUCCGUGACAGCUCUCCUGAGUGACGGUGGCACUCCGUGUGUCUGUCUGGUCUGCUCAUCCUUCUGUGCUCCGUGUUGGGGUCCACUUACACGGGAUGUGAAACCUGGGCCUAGUUCAAGGAGAGGACAGGGCAGAGAUGCCCCAGUCUCCUCUAACGUGGACUGAUUGGAGGGUGGACGGAGGACGAGCUGCCCGGGGUGGUGAGGUGAGAACACACCUUCACUAGGGCUCCUCAGACCACAAGGCCACAUUGAUUAAUUUCUUCUCAAUGCCUGAUGUGAUCUUCGUGAUUGUUCACUGUCUGGACCUGCCAGAAACGGAGCAAACCACCCAGUGAAAUCAUUGCUGACCUGGUCCGGGGGGGUGGGAUGCAAUCAUGUGAAUGGUCUAGUUCAAUAAAUGCGCAGUCUCUCAGA